GGCGUAAAGGGCUCGUAGGUGGUUGAUCGCGUCGGAAGUGUAAUCUUGGGGCUUAACCCUGAGCGUGCUUUCGAUACGGGUUGACUUGAGGAAGGUAGGGGAGAAUGGAAUUCCUGGUGGAGCGGUGGAAUGCGCAGAUAUCAGGAGGAACACCAGUGGCGAAGGCGGUUCUCUGGGCCUUUCCUGACGCUGAGGAGCGAAAGCGUGGGGAGCGAACAGGCUUAGAUACCCUGGUAGUCCACGCUGUAAACGGUGGGUACUAGGUGUGGGGUCCAUUCCACGGGUUCCGUGCCGUAGCUAACGCUUUAAGUACCCCGCCUGGGGAGUACGGCCGCAAGGCUAAAACUCAAAGGAAUUGACGGGGCCCCGCACAAGCGGCGGAGCAUGCGGAUUAAUUCGAUGCAACGCGUAGAACCUUACCUGGGUUUGACAUGGAUCGGGAGUGCUCAGAGAUGGGUGUGCCUCUUUUGGGGUCGGUUCACAGGUGGUGCAUGGCUGUCGUCAGCUCGUGUCGUGAGAUGUUGGGUUAAGUCCCGCAACGAGCGCAACCCUUGUUCACUGUUGCCAGCACGUUAUGGUGGGGACUCAGUGGAGACCGCCGGGGUCAACUCGGAGGAAGGU
rnacentral:rRNA from 1 species